UCCGGACAUUUAAACGCUAUACUCGUAAAUGAUACAUUGAAUGAAAGAUAUUUACAAUACCGAUCGACAAAAAAAAAGUUUAUGGAAAUCGGAUGACCGACUUAUGAGUUAGAGCCCUUGAUGUGAACCA